AGAGUUUGAUCCUGGCUCAGGAUGAACGCUAGCGGCGGGCUUAAUACAUGCAAGUCGAGGGGCAGCAAUACACCGGCGCACGGGUGCGUAACGCGUAUGCAAUCUACCUUUAUCUGGGGGAUAGCCCGGGGAAACCCGGAUUAAUACCGCAUAACAAAUUGAUUGGCAUCAAUUGAUUUUAAAAGAUUUAUCGGAUAGAGAUGAGCAUGCGUAAGAUUAGAUAGUUGGCGGGGUAACGGCUCACCAAGUCUACGAUCUUUAGGGGCUCUGAGAGGAGAAUCCCCCACACUGGCACUGAGAUACGGGCCAGACUCCUACGGGAGGCAGCAGUAGGGAGUAUUGGGCAAUGGACGCAAGUCUGACCCAGCCACGCCGCGUGCAGGAAGAAGGCCCUCUGGGUUGUAAACUGCUUUUGACUGGGAAGAAAAGACCUCUUGCGAGAGGAGUUGACGGUACCAGUGGAAUAAGCCACGGCUAACUACGUGCCAGCAGCCGCGGUAAU
rnacentral:rRNA from 1 species